rnacentral:rRNA from 1 species
AGAGUUUGAUCAUGGCUCAGAAUCAACGCUGGCGGCGCGCCUAACACAUGCAAGUCGAACGAGAAAGCAGGAGCAAUCUUGUGAGUAAAGUGGCGUACGGGUGAGUAACACGUGGAUCAUCUACCCUCUUGUGGGGGAUAACUCUGGGAAACCGGAGCUAAUACCGCAUAAGCUCGAGAGAGGAAAGCAGCAAUGCGCAGGAGGAGGAGUCCGCGGCCGAUUACGCUAGUUGGUAGGGUAAAAGCCUACCAAGGCUAAGAUCGGUAGCCGGCCUGAGAGGGCACACGGCCACACUGGCACUGAAACACGGGCCAGACUCCUACGGGAGGCAGCAGUGGGGAAUCUUGCACAAUGGGGGCAACCCUGAUGCAGCGACGCCGCGUGAGCGAUGAAGCCCUUCGGGGUGUAAAGCUCUUUCGGCAGGGAAGAUUAUGACGGUACCUGCAGAAGCAGCUGCGGCUAACUACGUGCCAGCAGCCGCGGUAAUACGUAGGCAGCAAGCGUUGUUCGGAGUUACUGGGCGUAAAGGGUGUGUAGGCGGUCCUCUAAGUUUGGUGUGAAAUCUCCCGGCUCAACUGGGAGGGUGCGCCGAAAACUGGAGGGCUAGAGUACUGGAUGGGAGAGUGGAAUUCCUGGUGUAGCGGUGAAAUGCGUAGAUAUCAGGAGGAACCCUGUGGUGUAGACGGCUCUCUGGACAGUAACUGACGCUGAGACACGAAAGCGUGGGUAGCAAACAGGAUUAGAUACCCUAGUAGUCC